rnacentral:lncRNA from 1 species
UCUAUAAAUAUAUGCAUCCCUUCUCUUCCAAGGGACAUACUCCUCCUUGUGGGAAUCAUCUCUCUCCAAGUCUUCCCCAUGAUAAAAUCUCCAUAGCCUUCGGUUCCAUGCCACAACCCUUCUUCACACCAACCUUGUCUUCCUAAAAUUUUAGUUGGUCAUAGUUUCAAACUUUUUUCCUCAAACUCUGCCAUCCCAAACCUCCAUCAGUCCCCUACAAACC